rnacentral:tRNA from 1 species
GGUGGCUCAGUGGUAGAGUGCUUGUCUUGCAUGCCUGAGGCCCUGGGUUCGAUUCCCAGCACCA